GGGGCAUUAGCUCAGUUGGUAGAGCGCUUGCAUGGCAUGCAAGAGGUCAGCGGUUCGAACCCGCUAUGCUCCACCA
rnacentral:tRNA from 1 species